rnacentral:rRNA from 1 species
AUUGAACGCUGGCGGCAUGCCUUACACAUGCAAGUCGAACGGUAACAGGUCUUCGGAUGCUGACGAGUGGCGAACGGGUGAGUAAUACAUCGGAACGUGCCCGAUCGUGGGGGAUAGCGAAGCGAAAGCUUUGCUAAUACCGCAUAAGAUCUACGGAUGAAAGCAGGGGACCGCAAGGCCUUGCGCGAACGGAGGGGCCGAUGGCAGAUUAGGUAGUUGGUGGGAUAAAAGCUUACCAAGCCGACGAUCUGUAGCUGGUCUGAGAGGACGACCAGCCACACUGGGACUGAGACACGGCCCAGACUCCUACGGGAGGCAGCAGUGGGGAAUUUUGGACAAUGGGCGAGAGCCUGAUCCAGCCAUGCCGCGUGCAGGAUGAAGGCCUUCGGGUUGUAAACUGCUUUUGUACGGAACGAAAAGACUCUUUCUAAUAAAGAGGGUCCAUGACGGUACCGUAAGAAUAAGCACCGGCUAACUACGUGCCAGCCGCCGCGGUAACAC